GAUGAAGAACGCAGCGAAAUGCGAUAAGUAGUGUGAAUUGCAGAAUUCAGUGAAUCAUCGAAUCUUUGAACGCACAUUGCGCCCCUUGGUAUCCCGAGGGGCAUGCCUGUUCGAGCGUCAUUUCACCACUCAAGCCUGGCUUGGUGUUGGGCGACGUCCUCUUUGGGGACGCGCCUCGAAACGCUCGGCGGCGUGGCACCGGCUUUAAGCGUAGCAGAAUCUUUCGCUUUGGAAGUCGGGGCCCCGUCUGCCGGAAGACCUGCUCGCAAGGUUGACCUCGGAUCAGGCAGGGAUACCCGCUGAACUUAAGCAUAUUCAAUAAGCGGAGGA
rnacentral:misc_RNA from 1 species